UUUCCGUAGGUGAACCUGCGGAAGGAUCAUUAUCGAGUUAGGGUCUUUUAGGCCCGACCUCCAACCCUUUGUAUAACUACCAUGUUGCUUUGGCGAGCCAUUCUUUAACCGGACCGCCGUAGGUGUUAUAGCUCCUGCCCCGUGCUCGUCAGUAGCCCUCAUAAAUUCUUUCUAACCAAAUUAUAUCUGAAACUAGUUAAAUAAACAAAAACUCUCAACAACGGAUCUCUUGGUUCUG
rnacentral:misc_RNA from 1 species